rnacentral:rRNA from 1 species
AUUGAACGCUGGCGGCAGGCCUAACACAUGCAAGUCGAGCGAGCGGCGGACGUGUGAGUAAUGUAUGGGGACUGCCCGCUAGAGGGGGAUAACUACUGGACACGGUAGCUAAUACCGCAUACUGUCUGGUUCCCCUUAUGGGAGUAGCUAGUAGGUGAGGUAAUGGCGCACCUAGGCGACGAUCCCUAGCUGGUCUGAGAGGAUGAUCAGCCACACUGGGACUGAGACACGGCCCAGACUCCUACGGAGGCAGCAGUGGGGAAGAGGGCACAAUGGGCGCAAGCCUGAUACAGCCAUGCCGCGUGUAGGAAGAAGGCCCUAGGGUUGUAAAGUACGUUCAGUGGGGAGGCGUUACCGACAGAAGAAGCACCGGCUAACUCCGUGCCAGCAGCCGCGGUAAUUC